GCCAGAAUUAUUUACCUCUCUCUCUCUCUCUCUGACCCAUCUCCCUCAUACACACAUCAUCACACAGUGAAAGUGGGAAUAUUUUUUUGCAGACCAACAACGAGAAUAUAAUCAUUCUUUCUAUAUAUCCACACUAACGUAUGUAUAUGUAAUAUGUAAUAUGUAUGCAUAGAUCUUCAUCAUAUGUUGCAGGUGUGUUUUCUUAUGGAGUGAAAGAUUUGGGGCAGAUCUUUGAAGACUUUUAAAAAAAUGGUUCAGUUUUUAUAUAAUUAAUUACAUGUUGCUGCCUUUUUUUUUAAUUUACUUUUAAAAAAUCUGACUCUGACUCUCAUGAUAAAAGCGACCCAUCAGCUGUUUGUCAACAAACUCGUCUGAUUUCUUCUGUAAAUUUUGUAAAUCAGAAACAGUCACUGUUGGUGUUCAUUCUUUUAAGAUAUUCAGUGAAUUCUCAUUUCAAUCAUCUGAGUUUAUGGAUGUAUAAGGUUAAAAAAUGUUUUUAUAGGUAAUGAAAUUAAGUUAGCUUAG
rnacentral:lncRNA from 1 species